rnacentral:rRNA from 1 species
CCUACGGGGUGCAGCAGGCGCGAACACUUUACAAUGCGGGAAACCGCGAUAAGGGAACCCCGAGUGCCAGCAUCAAAUGUUGGCUGUCCGGAUGAUUAAAAAUCAUUUGUUAGCAAGGGCCGGGCAAGACCGGUGCCAGCCGCCGCGGUAACACCGGCGGCCCGAGUGGUAGCCGUUUUUAUUGGGUCUAAAGGGUCCGUAGCCGGCCUGAUAAGUCCUUUGGGAAAUCUGGCAGCUUAACUGUCAGGCUUCUAAGGGAUACUGUCAGGCUUGGGACCGGAAGAGGUAAGGGGUACUCCAGGGGUAGGAGUGAAAUCUUGUAAUCCCUGGGGGACCAUCUGUGGCGAAGGCGCCUUACCAGAACGGGUCCGACGGUGAGGGACGAAAGCUAGGGGAGCAAACCGGAUUAGAUACCCGGGUAGUCCUAGCUGUAAACGAUGCUCGCUAGGUGUCAGACACGGUGCGACCGUGUUUGGUGCCGCAGGGAAGCCGUUAAGCGAGCCACCUGGGAAGUACGGUCGCAAGGCUGAAACUUAAAGGAAUUGGCGGGGGAGCAC